rnacentral:rRNA from 1 species
GACGAACGCUGGCGGCGUGCUUAACACAUGCAAGUCGAACGGAAAGGCCCUGCUUUUGUGGGGUGCUCGAGUGGCGAACGGGUGAGUAACACGUGAGUAACCUGCCCUUGACUUUGGGAUAACUUCAGGAAACUGGGGCUAAUACCGGAUAGGAGCUCCUGCUGCAUGGUGGGGGUUGGAAAGUUUCGGCGGUUGGGGAUGGACUCGCGGCUUAUCAGCUUGUUGGUGGGGUAGUGGCUUACCAAGGCUUUGACGGGUAGCCGGCCUGAGAGGGUGACCGGCCACAUUGGGACUGAGAUACGGCCCAGACUCCUACGGGGGGCAGGAGUGGGGAAUAUUGCACAAGGGGCGGAAGCCUGAUGCAGCAACGCCGCGGGCGGGAAGACGGCCUUCGGGUUGGAAACCGCUUUCGCCUGUGACGAAGCGGGGGUGACGGUAAUGGGUAAAGAAGCACCGGCUAACUACGU